UUAUAGUAGUUGGUUUUUGAGUUCCUUUCCUAGUUUAAUUUCAAAAUUUACUAGUACUAACAGCUCCUUGAGCACCCUGCUUUAGGGUUUUCAGAAUGAGCAUUAGUGCAGUGGUUGCAGAGAAGGUGUGGGAAGGUAUCCAAUCAACUCAUUCAGUGAACGAUGACCAACUUUCAAUAUUGCAUUUCUUAUUUGGGAAAAAUUUCGAGCGAGCAACGAGGAUAGUUGAUCAAAGAGGCGUAAAAAGGAUCUUGGGCAAACCCAGUGGUCGUUCCAUCUUUAAGGUUGUAGGAGAGUCAAAGAGGAAGGAGGAAUAUCUAUGCUUUCCAGAACAUUAUUGUGCUUGUUAUUCCUUCUUCUAUGACAUUGUAAACAGAGGGGAACAGCUUUCUUGUAAGCAUCAAUUAGCUGUCAGACUUGCUUCUUCGUUGGGAGCAUGCGUUGAUUUUACGAUCUCUGAUGAUGAGCUUGCUCUCAUGCUCUCCCAGCUUUGAAUGUGCAAAUUUCCGGAAAUAACCAUUCUAAAACAAAGGCCAAAUCAUGGGGAUGUUCAGCAGUAUGAAGGUGUUCAUUGUUUUUUGAAAUUGACUGGCAUAACUUUCUCUGAAAACUAAAAUUUCUAUGUUCAGCUUUAUAUUGCAGGUUGAAGCAUCAGCUUAUCCUGCAAGAAAUCCAACGAUCAUGCGUUUAUAGUAAAGUGAGGUUCUGGACUUUGGAACUAUUGCUUUACUUUAUGAAGACCAUAUUCUUUUGGAAUUUACAACAAAGUAAUCAGAUAUAAUGGCGCCAAUCAUCUAACUCUCUCUUGCAUUGCACCGAAGGGGGAUCGAGGGAUCAGUAUUUGAUCUCAAUUGUUUGAUUGAUGUGCAUAGUUAAGAAAACAUCUUGCGAUAUAUCAUUGUUUCAAAAAAUUAUUAUACAUAGUACAGAAACAUCUAAAGCUGUUAUUAUUUCAGAAAUCAUUCUUCUUCUGCAUCCGUUUCAGUUACUGUAAGCUUAUGUUGUCUAAUUGUACCUUUGAUUGCACCUUUUGAGACAUAUUGAAAUCUUGAUGCUUCUUGUGAAA